CAAAUUUAUACAAAAGGAGGGCACAAGUCCAAAAGCCACAAUUCACUUCAAAAGUGAUCUAUACUUAAAUAUCCUUUAAUUAUAGAUAAAGAAUGUCGGCGAUCCUAAGGGAAACCUUUAUAUCUCAACUUCCCGAAGUAAAACAUUUCAAUAGGGAAAGGAAAGGAAAUCAACCGAGACUCCGAAAGUAAUGGCGAGUGAAAUCGGAAAAGCCUAAAAGGAAAAGUUUAAACACAAAUACACACCAGUAACCAAAGAAGGUAAAUAAGUCCUGUAUGUUUAACUUUUCUUCUCUUUUUAAUUCAUUUUAAAAAGUAAAAAAAUAAGUACGACGAGAGCAAACUUGUCGGAAUAUAGGGGAACCAUCCUCUAAGGCUAAGUAUUAUAAAUUUAGCGAUAGUGAAACAGUACCGUAAGGGAAAGUUUGAAAAAGUUAUGUAUUAUUAGACAUAAAUGAAACAGUUGAAUUAGUAACUCUAUAAGCAGUCGAAAUUUAUAAAUAUAAAUGACGGCGUACCUUUUGCAUAAUGGGUCAGCAAGUUAAUAGGAGUAGCAAGGUUCAAAGCCUUAGUGAAAGCGACCAUACUAACUAGCUAUUCAAAAAAUAGUAUUUUUAUUAAAUCAUUUAAUAACAAAUAGGAUAUCCUUCAUAUUAUGAAGUUUCAUAUUUUCUAGGAAUAGUAAUGGAUAAGUUACUUCUAUUAGACCCGAAGCUAGGUGAUCUUCCUAAGACCAGAUUAUAAUGGAUCGAACGGGUGAAUGUAGCAAAAUUCUCCGAAGAGUUUUAGGAAGCGGUGAAAUGCCAAUCUGACCUAGUGAUAGCUGGUUUUCUACGAAACAUAUGUAAGUAUGACAUCUAAACAAGAUUUAUGGUGGUACAGCACUGAGUUCCCAACUUUCUAAAGUUUAGGUUGCGGGGACCUCGAAAAUCUUACCAAUGGAAGAGAAUCUCGGAAUGACAUAAAUUGAUGUUAGAUAUUCAGACUGCUCAUGCUAAGUUGGGUAGUCAAGACGGAAACAGCCGAGAACACGAAACAAGGUCCCAAAUGAUUUUUAAGUGAAAUGAAGGAAGUAAUAUAUUGAAUGCAGCUGUAAAGUGAGCCUGGUAGUCGCUAUCUUUUAAUAAACGUAAUGUAACAACGUAGCAGCCAUGAACCUAAAAAGGUUUAAAGAAUAUUACGCCAAAAAUUUAACGGGUCUUAAAAAAUCAACCGAUAUCGUGUUUAUUUUGAAUACCAUAAUCGUAUUCAAUAUAUAGGUAGUAGAACAUUCAGUAUACCUAUGAUAAAACAGUGUUUCAUUGUUUUUAGGUCACUGAAGAGAGAAUGCUGACAUGAGUAACGUAAAAAGAAGUUAUAAUACUUCUCGCCGAAUACGAAAGGGUUAUAAGGAAAGGUUAAACCACCUUAUGUUAAAGCGGCCUCUAAGGUCCAAAACCAAAGUUUUGGCUGAUGAGUAUGAAAUAGAAAGUCCUAAUACCCAAAAUGGGAGGACCAGGAAAAUAAUAUUUUAUUUAAGAAAAAUUUAUUUUUUCUUUUCACUACCGUACCCUAAACCGACACAGGUUCGUAAGUAGAGUAUACUAAGGCGUAGAGCUAAAAGUUGUUAAGGAACUCGGCAAGUUCUCCUCAUAAGUUUGACGACAAGAGGAACCCUAAUUAAUAGGGUGGCACAAAAUCGGAGGCCCCGACUGUUUACUAAAAACACAAUUCAGAGCAAUGAUGAAAAAUCAUAGUAUUCUGGAUGAAAUUUGCCCAAUGCCAUUAAUAUAAGAGAGGUUAUAGGUAACUGUAACUGAUUGAAAGUCUGGUUAAUAGCGGUCUUAACUAUGAGGAUCCAAAGGUAGCAAAAUAAAUUGGCCAUUAAAUGUGGUCUGGUAUCAAUAGUGUAACGAUGGUCUCACUGUCUCUACAACUUGCUCAGUGAAAUUGAAUUACCCGUGCAGAUGCGGGUUGCCUCCAGGUGGACGGGAAGACCCUAUGCAGCUUUACUGUAGUUAGCUAUCAUAUUGAUCUACAACAACCUUAGUUAAUAGGAAUUAGGGAUGUCGAUAGACGAAAGAUGGAAUACCUUCUGACUUUGGUUGGGUUAAUAUUUACCUUGUAAUUAUAAAAAAAAGUUUAAGGGAUAGGUGGCUAAUUGGCAGUUUGACUGGGGCGGUCGUCUUUGAUAAAGUAGCAAAGUACAUCCAAAGAUAUUUCUUUAUUUACUCUUUAUGCCUUUGGCAUAUCUGAGUAUAUAAUUCAUAGUAAAAGUUAAAACUAUGUAUAAAUAUAAAUAAAAAUAAAAAGUUAUUUAUAUUUUUUAAUAACAUAAGGUAGAGCUAGAUAAUUGAAUGGAAAUCAAUCAACCAAUGAGAAAGGUUGUAAUCGGCGUAAUGGCGGAAAGCAUGCCUAACUGAAAGACUUAGAAGUCGCACAGAUACGUAAGUAGGGCAUAGUGACCCUUCGCUAUAAUAUGGAAUAGACGGGGAUCAAUCGAUAAAAGUUACGCUAGGGAUAACAGGCUGAUAGCUGGUGAGAGUACACAUUGUCCCGGCUGAUUGGCACCUUGAUUAUAAUAGAUUAUACUUUUUUUAUAGAGUUGAUUAAAACAUAGAUAAUUUUGAUCUCUAAGGUUAAUUAUAAGAAGUAAAAACAAAAACAAAAAAUACAUCGGGGAAUCUAAUUAUAAAUAAUUAUUUAGACAUUGGCUAUUUGCUGGAACACCCUUAGAGCUUUAGGUACUUAUCAUUUUUAUUUUAAGUUAAAAUCUUAAAGAUUGGGCAAUCAGCAGGGAAGUAUUCUAUUUAGGUAUAGCUACUUAU
rnacentral:rRNA from 1 species